rnacentral:tRNA from 1 species
GCAUCGGUGGUAGAGUGGUCUAUUACGCACGGCUGCUAAUCGUGAGCCUAAUUGCGGGCACAAGAGUUCGAAUCUCUUCCGGUGCG